ensembl:snoRNA SNORD22 Small nucleolar RNA SNORD22
CCCUAGGCUCAAGCUUGUUUCCCACACUGCCCUAGUCCCAGAGCCUGAAAAAAUGAACCCAUUAGAACUGGCUGAGGAGAAGAGGAAAAUUUAUUCCAGAAGGAACUGUCCAAAGGAU